UCUCCCAUCCUAACGCGAUCGCAAGCGAUCUUCGACCCGAUACCCGCUCGACCCAAGCACGAAGCUUUUUCGCACUCGGCUUGCGAAGUCGUCCUUCGUCUCUUCGCAGCUCCGAGCUCGACCUCCGAUCAGUGCUUCCAUGUCGCAGGAGGAAGCGGCCGUUGCGGCGAUAAGGCAUGCUCUGAGGGCCCUGCGGAAGCGGCAUUUGGUCGAGGAGGGCGCCCAUGGACCCGCCAUCGCUGCCCUCUCGCGUCCCAUCCUCUCGCAGAGUUCCGAGUGGAAAGAGAAGGCUGAGGCUUUGGAAGUGGAGCUUCAGCAAUGUUAUAAAGCUCAAUCGCGACUGUCGGAGCAGCUUGUGGUGGAGGUUGCGGAGUCCAGGGCAUUGAAAUCUCUGUUGCAAGAGAAAGAGGCUGCAAUGAGUUCUCUGCAACUGGAGUUGACCGAUGCAAGGAAUGAAUGCUCACAAUUGAAGGCAGAUUUGGAAGAGAAAAUUAAAGCCGUAGAAUUGCUUAUAAGUGAGAUCCAGGAGCUCAAGCGGCAACUGGAAAUCAUGACUGUAAAAGCUAAGAACGCAGAAGCUGAGAAUAAGAUGCUAGUAGAUCGAUGGAUGUUACAAAAGAUGCAGGAUGCUGAACGCCUUAAUGAGGCAAAUGCUCUUUAUGAAGAUAUGGUUGACCGCCUAAGGGCUAGCGGUUUAGAAAGUUUUGCUAGGCAACAAGUUGAUGGCGUGGUACGCCGAAGUGAAGAGGGUGCUGAAUUCUUUGCCGAAUCAACCGUUCCUUCUUCAUGUAAGCAUAGGAUUCAUGCCCAUGAAGGCGGGUGUGCUUCUAUCGCAUUUGAGUAUAAUUCUGGUAGGUUGAUUAGUGGUGGACAGGACAGGACAAUAAAAAUGUGGGAUACAAGAACUGGAUCAUUGAGUCGCACACUUUACGGUUGCCUUGGUUCAGUUCUUGAUCUUACUCUUACGCAUGAUAACAGAUCUGUCAUUGCAGCAAGCAGCUCAAAUAAUUUGUACGUGUGGGAUGUUAACUCAGGACGUGUCCAACAUACCUUAACAGGCCACACCGAUAAAGUUUGUGCAGUAGAUGUAAGCAAGUUCUCCAGCCGUCAUUUAGUGAGCGCAGCUUAUGAUCGUACCAUCAAAAUUUGGGAUUUGCAGAAAGGUUACUGCAAUAACACAAUCAUCUUUCCCAGCAACUGCAAUGCACUUAGCUUCAGCAUGGAUGGGCUUACUAUAUGUUCUGGCCAUGUGGAUGGCAACCUUCGUUUGUGGGAUAUUCAAACAGGGAAGUUGCUAAGUGAAGUUGCCGCACAUGCGCUUGCUAUCACAUCCAUCUCUCUUUCGCGAAAUGGAAAUGUAGUUUUAACCAGUGGAAGAGACAAUUUGCAUAAUCUAUUUGAUAUGAGGUCACUCGAAGUUUGCGGGACAUUAAGAGCUUCUGGAAAUAGAGUUGCCUCUAACUGGAGCAGGUCCUGUAUCAGCCCAGAUGACGGCUAUGUAGCUGCUGGGUCUGCUGAUGGAGCUGUUUAUAUAUGGUCUAUAUCAAAAGCUGAUAUUGUGACCACACUAAAGGAGCAUGGUGCUCCAGUACUAUGUUGUUCGUGGAGUGGUCUUGGGAAACCAUUGUGCUCGGCAGAUAAAAAUGGAAUCAUUUGUACAUGGACAUAGUGGUUUUGCUCUCAUACAUGUAAAUAUGCCUUGGUGACCACGGAAUUCAAUCCCAGUUUGGGGAAUUCUUUAACACACAACGGUUGACGAUGGGCGCAGAAGUUUGGAUUAAUUCGAUGAUUGACCACUAUCUUGGAGUUCAUUGUUCGGUCCACCCCACGGCGGUAGGCUGCUGAUACUCAGUUUUAUGCGCUGCCUCCUCGAGAGCUUUAUAACCCAGGGGAGGUUCGAUGGCUUCGAUGCGGAUAUCAAUUGAAGCGGGAACAGAGCUCCUUACUCUCACGGGGGAUUAGGGGAUUUAACGGUAUGCGAUUAACACUUUUGGUACUGUACUUAACGGCCAUAUAAUUGAUGAUUAACUAUCAGAACCAAGUGUUUGGGAUAAGCUCUUCCAUCA